rnacentral:rRNA from 1 species
GGAAAGCACUCCUACGGGAGGCAGCAGUGGGGAAUAUUGCACAAUGGGCGCAAGCCUGAUGCAGCCAUGCCGCGUGUAUGAAGAAGGCCUUCGGGUUGUAAAGUACUUUCAGCAGUGAGGAAGGUGGAUAUGUUAAUAGCAUAUUCAUUUGACGUUAGCUGCAGAAGAAGCACCGGCUAACUCCGUGCCAGCAGCCGCGGUAAUACGGAGGGUGCGAGCGUUAAUCGGAAUUACUGGGCGUAAAGCGCAUGCAGGUGGUUUGUUAAGUCAGAUGUGAAAGCCCGGGGCUCAACCUCGGAAUUGCAUUUGAAACUGGCAAACUAGAGUACUGUAGAGGGGGUAGAAUUUCAGGUGUAGCGGUGAAAUGCGUAGAGAUCUGAAGGAAUACCGGUGGCGAAGGCGGCCCCCUGGACAGAUACUGACACUCAGAUGCGAAAGCGUGGGGAGCAAACAGGAUUAGAUACCCUGGUAG